GGUGACAGUACUCCAGGAAUAAGCGGGGCCUAAUUCUGUGCCAGCAGGCGCGGUAAUUCAGAACCCGCAAGCGUUAUCCGGAUUUAUUGGGCGUAAAGGGUCCGUACGCGGCCAAGAAAGUCUCUGGUUAAAUACCCAGGGCUCAACCUUGGGAGUGCUAGAGAUACUACUUGGCUAGAGGGCGUUAGACGCUGAUGGAACGGUCGGUGUAGGGUGAAAUCCGUUGAUAUCGACCGGAACACCAAAAGCGAAGGCAUUCAGCUAGGGCGACCUGACGCUGAGGGACGAAAGCGUGGGUAUCAAAAAGGAUUAGAUACCAUUGUAGUCACGCUGUAAACGAUGGACACUAGCUAUUCGAAGUGUCGACCCUUUCGGGUGGCAAAGCUAACGCGUUAAGUGUCCCGCCUGGGAAGUACGGCGGCAACGCUAAAACUCAAAGGAAUAGACGGGGAUUCACACAAGCGGUGGACCAUGCGGCUCAAUUCGACAACAAGCGAGGAACCUUACCAGGGUUUGACAGGCUAGUGAAAACUAACCGAAAGGUUGGUCUACCCACAAGGACACUAGCCCAGGUGCUGCAUGGUUGUCGUCAGCAUGUAUCUUGAGACGCACGCUUAAAUGCGGUAACAUGCGCAACCCCUGCCCUGUGUUUUAUUUGUCACAGGGGACUGCCCGGGACAACCGGGAGGAAGGUGGGGAUGACGCCAAAUCAGCAUGGCCCUUUGAUACCCUGGGCUGCACACGUGGUACAAUGGGGCCGACAAUGCGUUGCUAAGGCGCAAGCCGGAGCCAAUCGCAUCAAACGGCCUCUCAGUUCGGAUUGAGGUCUGCAACUCGACCUCAUGAAGUUGGAAUCGCUAGUAAUCGCAAAUCAGCCACGUUGCGAUGAAUAUGUUUCUGAAUCUUGUACUCACCGCCCGUCACAUUAGGGGAGCCGGCAGUAGCCGAAAUUUCACAUUAGUGGACCUAAGCUAAGGUCGGUAACAAGAAUG
rnacentral:rRNA from 1 species